AGCGUCCUUGCUCGGGUUUUGUCAAGUUUGUGCUUAGAUUAGUAAGCGUUUGUUUGCGGUAUAGCAGGCACGGUAAAAUUAAGUUAUUAUCCUGUUUAAAACGUGCAUACAUGAAUCCUGUGCAGUCUUUUGUGGGUUUAACAUGCAGUUAAUGACACAGUUGGCUUCUUCCAAGAAGUAAGGAAAAUAGGCCAAUUCUGGACACCUUGUGCUGUGGAGAUUUGAUUGGCAGUCCUUAUGUGUGAUUCCUGAAUGUUGAAGUGUCUUCUAUCCACUAGAAGCAGACGCAAUGAGGGAACUCUGAACACUGUAUGCCAUGGGGUAUGGAUCGUGACAGUCCUGUUUCACUCCACAACAUAUCAGCGUCUAAAAGAAACAUAAAAAUGCUUUUUCCCGAAUGGAUGCAGAAGAAUCUGCUGUCUAUUACUAAAGAAAGGAUUCACAGCAACUAAUUGGUAAGUGGAAACAUUUAUUAAUUGAGAAAAAUAGGUUUGCAUCAAUGAUAUCAGCUUUUAGUCCUUAGGUAAAGUCUAGAUGAAUAGAAAGGAAGUUUUGGUAUUUAUUUUCAUAAUUAUUG